GACUGCAAAGAUCUCACCAUUCCUUUUUGAGGGGAACAACAACUCCAGAGCCAUUUACUUAAGGAAUAUGUUUUUGCUAAGAAGGAAAUUGAUGAUCAGGCUCAAGUUGUAACACAAACCAUCGCCUUGGCAGUCAUGUUUUCCAAGAAAGUCAGGUAAGGGCACAGAUAACAUGAUCAUCUUGUCUGGCCUCUUGAAUAUCACAGACUUCCCUGAAUUAAUUCCUGUUUGAAUGAGAGCAU